rnacentral:tRNA from 1 species
GGGCUCUUAGCUCAGUUGGUUAGAGCAGUGGACUCAUAAUCCAUUGGUCCGGGGUUCAAGUCCCUGAGGGCCCA